rnacentral:rRNA from 1 species
AACGAACGCUGGCGGCAGGCCUAACACAUGCAAGUCGAGCGCACCUUCGGGUGAGCGGCGGACGGGUUAGUAACGCGUGGGAACGUGCCCAGAUCUGCGGAAUAGCCACUGGAAACGGUGAGUAAUACCGCAUACGCCCUUCGGGGGAAAGAUUUAUCGGAUUUGGAUCGGCCCGCGUUAGAUUAGAUAGUUGGUGGGGUAACGGCCUACCAAGCCUACGAUCUAUAGCUGGUUUUAGAGGAUGAUCAGCAACACUGGGACUGAGACACGGCCCAGACUCCUACGGGAGGCAGCAGUGGGGAAUCUUAGACAAUGGGGGCAACCCUGAUCUAGCCAUGCCGCGUGAGUGAUGAAGGCCUUAGGGUCGUAAAGCUCUUUCGCCUGUGAUGAUAAUGACAGUAGCAGGUAAAGAAACCCCGGCUAACUCCGUGCCAGCCGCCGCGGUAACAC